AAAUCCUGUCGGGUAAGGUUUAGCCAACCGCCCGUACCAAGUCCUUGGAAUCAAAGCGGUAACGUCAGAUUUAAGCGUAGGAUAGGGAGUAGCAGAGCCGAAACGAAAGUGAAGUGAUUGAGCUGGGAAAUAAUUAUGAGGUUGGAAAUGGUCGAUGUGCUCUAUGCCACAGCAGACAAUAUCUCUGUAACCGCUAUGGCAAGGGUACAGAGACAUCCCCCAGUCUGAGAAC
rnacentral:ncRNA from 1 species